rnacentral:lncRNA from 1 species
UGCACUCAGCAGGUGCUCAGUAAACCCAGGAGACCAGAGUUUCUGGGCAAAUCUCCAACCUUGGCAAGUAACAGGAAUAUUAAGCAGGGAAACUGAGGCAGAAGCCCAAUUAUGAACAAACUUGGUGGCAUUUCAAAAGACUGGCACCUGGGGGGAAAAAAAAAAGACUGGCACCUGGAGCUUCCUCGGCUACUCAGGGCUCAGCCUAUCCCAAGAAAGAAUUGAAUGCCAGGCCCUGCUCCGGGCACAGCAGAGACAUACACCUUCGAAUCAUCCAUGCCGCUCCUCGAGACUAAUGAGUUGCUGCGCAGCCCUCCAACUGGGGAUUACACCAUACAGCAUGUGGAACCAAGGUUGGCAGGGAUCGUUCUAAAGCUCUGAUUACUACACGGUCACCUUCUCUUUAACCUGAAAACCUUAAUUUCUCAUCUUUCAAGUGGAAAAAAUUAUAGAGUACUUCAGAG